rnacentral:rRNA from 1 species
CAGCAGCCGCGGUAAUACGAAGGGUGCAAGCGUUAAUCGGAAUUACUGGGCGUAAAGGGUGCGUAGGCGGUUGUUUAAGUCUGUUGUGAAAUCCCCGGGCUCAACCUGGGAAUGGCAAUGGAAACUGGACGGCUAGAGUGUGUCAGAGGAUGGUGGAAUUCCCGGUGUAGCGGUGAAAUGCGUAGAGAUCGGAAGGAACAUCUGUGGCGAAGGCGACUAUCUGGGCCAACACUGACACUGAGGCACGAAAGCGUGGGGAGCAAACAGGAUUAGAUACCCCUGUAGUCCCUGUCUCUUAUAC